AGUUCUGUCCAAAAAUAGAAGAAAUUGUUUCAUGUGGUCACAAGCUGCUUGUCACUAGAAGUAUUUAAACU
rnacentral:sRNA from 1 species